UGCAAGUCGAGCGGGUAGAGAGAAGCUUGCUUCUCUUGAGAGCGGCGGACGGGUGAGUAAUGCCUAGGAAUCUGCCUGGUAGUGGGGGAUAACGCUUCGGAAACGGACGCUAAUACCGCAUACGUCCUACGGGAGAAAGCAGGGGACCUUCGGGCCUUGCGCUAUCAGAUGAGCCUAGGUCGGAUUAGCUAGUUGGUGAGGUAAUGGCUCACCAAGGCGACGAUCCGUAACUGGUCUGAGAGGAUGAUCAGUCACACUGGAACUGAGACACGGUCCAGACUCCUACGGGAGGCAGCAGUGGGGAAUAUUGGACAAUGGGCGAAAGCCUGAUCCAGCCAUGCCGCGUGUGUGAAGAAGGUCUUCGGAUUGUAAAGCACUUUAAGUUGGGAGGAAGGGUUGUAGAUUAAUACUCUGCAAUUUUGACGUUACCGACAGAAUAAGCACCGGCUAACUUUGUGCCAGCAGCCGCGGUAAUACAGAGGGUGCAAGCGUUAAUCGGAAUUACUGGGCGUAAAGCGCGCGUAGGUGGUUUGUUAAGUUGGAUGUGAAAUUCCCCGGGCUCAACCUGGGAACUGCAUUCAAAACUGACUGACUAGAGUAUGGUAGAGGGUGGUGGAAUUUCCUGUGUAGCGGUGAAAUGCGUAGAUAUAGGAAGGAACACCAGUGGCGAAGGCGACCACCUGGACUAAUACUGACACUGAGGUGCGAAAGCGUGGGGAGCAAACAGGAUUAGAUACCCUGGUAGUCCACGCCGUAAACGAUGUCAACUAGCCGUUGGAAGCCUUGAGCUUUUAGUGGCGCAGCUAACGCAUUAAGUUGACCGCCUGGGGAGUACGGCCGCAAGGUUAAAACUCAAAUGAAUUGACGGGGGCCCGCACAAGCGGUGGAACAUGUGGUUUAAAUUCGAAGCACCCCGAAAAACCUUACCAGGCCUUGACAUCCAAUGAACUUUCUAAAAAUAGAUUGGUGCCUUCGGGAACAUUGAAACAGGUGCUGCAUGGCUGUCCUCAGCUCGUGUCGUGAGAUGUUGGGUUAAGUCCCGUAACGAGCGCAACCCUUGUCCUUAGUUACCAGCACGUUAUGGUGGGCACUCUAAGGAGACUGCCGGUGACAAACCGGAGGAAGGUGGGGAUGACGUCAAGUCAUCAUGGCCCUUACGGCCUGGGCUACACACGUGCUACAAUGGUCGGUACAGAGGGUUGCCAAGCCGCGAGGUGGAGCUAAUCCCAUAAAACCGAUCGUAGUCCGGAUCGCAGUCUGCAACUCGACUGCGUGAAGUCGGAAUCGCUAGUAAUCGCGAAUCAGAAUGUCGCGGUGAAUACGUUCCCGGGCCUUGUACACACCGCCCGUCACACCCAUGGGAGUGGGUUGCACCAGAAGUAGCUAGUCUAACCUUCGGGAGGACG
rnacentral:rRNA from 1 species